AUUGAACGCUGGCGGCAUGCUUUACACAUGCAAGUCGAACGGCAGCGCGGGCUUCGGCCUGGCGGCGAGUGGCGAACGGGUGAGUAAUGCAUCGGAACGUGCCCAGUAGUGGGGGCUAGCCCGGCGAAAGCCGGAUUAAUACCGCAUACGACCUGAGGGUGAAAGCGGGGGACCGAAAGGCCUCGCGCUAUUUGAGCGGCCGAUGUCGGAUUAGCUAGUUGGUGGGGUAAAGGCUUACCAAGGCGACGAUCCGUAGCUGGUCUGAGAGGACGACCAGCCACACUGGGACUGAGACACGGCCCAGACUCCUACGGGAGGCAGCAGUGGGGAAUUUUGGACAAUGGGGGCAACCCUGAUCCAGCCAUGCCGCGUGCGGGAAGAAGGCCUUCGGGUUGUAAACCGCUUUUGUUCGGGAAGAAAUACUCUGGGCUAAUACCCCGGGGGGAUGACGGUACCGGAAGAAUAAGCACCGGCUAACUACGUG
rnacentral:rRNA from 1 species